UUUGUGUGUGUUUUUAGGUGGAUGUGUUUCUAGCUCUCUUGUCAAGGUGGAACUGUUGCUCCAAUGGCCUUCUAGUAUUGGUAGCUAAGUUUAGGUUUUUCUUGUCUCCUGCUGCUUCAAGAAAAGAGAAACCAGACACUUGUCAGGACAUGGUGUCUGUACCCACACUCUUUUUGGAAUCCCGGAACUGAGCUGUUCUUAUAGCCAUCAUUCAGUGCCUUGGAAGCCUGUUCACAUGAAGUGGGAAUAUAACGUGCACCCACCACAUUGGUCAUCUGUGAUUUCCUCAAGCGCGGGCCCUCCUUUGAAGGAGGAGAAGCAAUGUGAUUCAUGCCUGUGUGGUACCUUUGAAUCAGCACUGGGAUGCUAGUGCCUCUGUUCUCAGUAUCACCUCUAGGUGCAUGUCCUUGGGAAGAAAAUUCCCUGACAACUAAAACUAACAACUCAUUCCUCUGCUACACACAGUCCUGAUUGACAGAGGCUGGGCAAGUAGAUUUCUGAAUUCAAUUUUGCCUGAAGGAGCAAAUACAUCUUUAUUCCUAGGCAUAAAAAUCAAACAUCUGGAGCAGAGGCUGUCAACUCUGGCUGCACAUUGGAACCACUCAGGGAAUUUUUGAAAAUUCAGCCACAUCCCAGGCCAAUUAAAUCAGAUUCUCUGGGUGUGAAGUUUGGGCUCUGGCAUUUUUUAAAAGGUCCCUUGUCUCUUCUGUUGGGCAGUCACUGGCCCACAGUAUUGAUUUGAUAGGCUUGGUGAAUAUAGGUUAUCUAUUUUACUGUACAUCUUUUCUGCAUUUUAUUUCACCUGAAAUUUGAUGAUUUGGACAUUUUCAUACCAAUAAUUCAAAAGGAUUAGCAAUAAUUUUUCCAUUAUUAGUGUUAUUACCUUCACCAUAAUAAUUAGUGCUUCUCUUAUGUGGAGAAAACAUGUGCUACUGUAUUACCGAUAAUUACCAUUUAGCUAUAAAAUAAGGAUGAUUAAUUGCUGUUAUUUUAUAGAUUGAUAGUCAUAAUUUGGGAAGUUUAGAUGUUGCCCUAAAUGUUGAUAUUAUCUAUAUUUUAAUAAUUACCAUCAUUAAUUACCACUAGUUAUGUGAUAAAUCAAUAAUAGGCAUUUAUAGAUAAUUAUUGAACUUGCUUAAUAGUAGUCCGUAUUAGAAUUGGUUAGUGGCAUCCUUUCUGUUUUCCUAAUUGGAAAAAUAUUUCACACAAGCAUCAAGCAACUUGUAUGUUGAAAUCAGGGCAUAUGUGAGUGCAGAACUCCAAAACUGUGAUUUUUUUUCUUAUUGUCUGGUUCUGUCCAAUGUGAUGAAAUCUCAGUCCUUCUGUAGCAUCACUCCAGGAACAAAACUACAAGUUUACUGGUAUCUAAAGAGAAUUUGAAUGGACAAAGAAGAAGGGUUAAUGAAAAAGUUCAAUAUUUUAGAAAGAAUGAUUUGUGAAACUUCCAUUUGUUUGUCCAACCUAAAUUCAGGUAGUUGGGGACUUUAAGACAUUACUGGAGAUUC
rnacentral:lncRNA from 1 species